UACGUAGGGUGCGAGCGUUAAUCGGAAUUACUGGGCGUAAAGCGUGCGCAGGCGGUUCGUUAAGUCCGAUGUGAAAGCCCCGAGCUUAACUUGGGAAUGGCAUUGGAAACUGGCGGGCUGGAGUGUGGCAGAGGGGGGUGGAAUUCCACGUGUAGCAGUGAAAUGCGUAGAGAUGUGGAGGAACACCGGUGGCGAAGGCGGCAUCCUGGACCAACACUGACGCUGAGGAGCGAAAGCCAGGGGAGCAAACGGG
rnacentral:rRNA from 1 species